GACGAACGCUGGCGGCGUGCUUAACACAUGCAAGUCGAGCGAUGAAGUUCCUUCGGGAAUGGAUUAGCGGCGGACGGGUGAGUAACACGUGGGUAACCUGCCUCAUAGAGGGGAAUAGCCUUCCGAAAGGAAGAUUAAUACCGCAUAAGAUUGUAGUGCCGCAUGGCAUAGCAAUUAAAGGAGUAAUCCGCUAUGAGAUGGACCCGCGUCGCAUUAGCUAGUUGGUGAGGUAACGGCUCACCAAGGCGACGAUGCGUAGCCGACCUGAGAGGUUGAUCGGCCACAUUGGGACUGAGACACGGCCCAGACUCCUACGGGAGGCAGCAGUGGGGAAUAUUGCACAAUGGGGGAAACCCUGAUGCAGCAACGCCGCGUGAGUGAUGAAGGUCUUCGGAUUGUAAAACUCUGUCUUCAGGGACGAUAAUGACGGUACCUGAGGAGGAAGCCACGGCUAACUACGUGCCAGCCGCCGCCGUAAGAC
rnacentral:rRNA from 1 species